rnacentral:rRNA from 1 species
AGAGUUUGAUCAUGGCUCAGAAUGAACGCUGGCGGCGUGCUUAACACAUGCAAGUCGUACGAGAACACCCUAGCUUGCUAGGGUAAGUAAAGUGGCGCACGGGUGAGUAACGCGUGGGUAAUCUACCUUCGAAUUGGGGAUAACGUUGCGAAAGCGACGCUAAUACCGAAUAACAUCCAUUAAUCUUCGGGUUUUUGGAUCAAGGGUGGCCUCUACAUGUAAGCUACUGUUUGAAGAUGAGCCCGCGUACCAUUAGCUUGUUGGUGGGGUAAUGGCCUACCAAGGCAGCGAUGGUUAGCUGGUCUGAGAGGAUGAUCAGCCACACUGGAACUGACACACGGUCCAGACUCCUACGGGAGGCAGCAGUGAGGAAUUUUGCGCAAUGGGGGAAACCCUGACGCAGCAACGCCGCGUGAGUGGUGAAGGCUUUCGGGUCGUAAAGCUCUGUCAAGUGGGAAGAACCUGCAGUAUGCUAAUAUCAUAUUGCACUGACGGUACCACUGAAGGAAGCACCGGCUAACUCCGUGCCAGCAGCCGCGGUAAUACGGGGGGUGCAAGCGUUAUUCGGAAUCAUUGGGCGUAAAGAGCACGUAGGCGGCCUGGUAAGUCAGAUGUGAAAGCCCGGGGCUUAACCCCGGAAGUGCAUUUGAUACUGUCAGGCUUGAGUAUGGGAGAGGGAAGUGGAAUUCCUGGUGUAGAGGUGAAAUUCGUAGAUAUCAGGAGGAACACCGGUGGCGAAGGCGACUUCCUGGACCAAUACUGACGCUGAGGUGCGAAGGCGUGGGUAGCAAACAGGAUUAGAUACCCUGGUAGUCCACGCAGUAAACGUUGUUCACUAGGUGUAGCGGGUAUUGACCCCUGCUGUGCCGCAGUUAACGCAUUAAGUGAACCGCCUGGGGAGUACGGCCGCAAGGUUAAAACUCAAAGGAAUUGACGGGGGCCCGCACAAGCGGUGGAGCAUGUGGUUUAAUUCGACGCAACGCGAAGAACCUUACCUGGAUUUGACAUCCCGGGAAUCCUAUCGAAAGACUGGAGUGCCCUUCGGGGAGCCCGGAGACAGGUGCUGCAUGGCUGUCGUCAGCUCGUGUCGUGAGAUGUUGGGUUAAGUCCCGCAACGAGCGCAACCCUUGUCUUUAGUUACCAUCAUUCAGUUGGGGACUCUAAAGAUACUGCCCCGGUCAACGGGGAGGAAGGUGGGGAUGACGUCAAGUCCUCAUGGCCUUUAUGUCCAGGGCUACACACG